UUUUAGUGGAGUGAGUAGAAGCAGCCAGAUUCCAGUGAAGUAGAUGGGCUUGGAGGGACGAAGAAGGGACCGACGGGGUAACUUUGGUUUUCAAUAGACAGGAAGAGCGACAAAGGAGAGGUAGAUACAGCAGUGAGGAGCUAAGAGAACAGGAUAUUUGUGUAUAAAUGAUGGGAAAACGGGCUGAAGGAGAAGGUCCAGUUGGAAAACUAUAAAGUGAAGGCCACAGGAGUGACAGCUGGUUAGAAGUUCUUGAGAAGGUGAAAGAUGAUCGAGCGCGCAAGAGGAAUCUUGGGAGAGGUGGAAAUAAACUACUACUGACGCUGGAAGGAAAAUGAGUAGCCAUGGAGGUAGUAACAACAGCUACAACUUAUUUAUGCUCUAUAAGCGUCAGGAACUUUUAGUACUUCCUUUAACGCUCACAAAGCUUUCAGUACAAUACCACGCCCCCGUCCCAACAGGUGCUGCGAAAGGGGCGGGGCCUCGACUCUGAUAGGGUUCCUCCCUCCCCGGGGCCCCGCCCGGUCCCCCAGAUUGGAUGGUGAGCGCACGCUUCCAUUAGGGCAGGACGUAGGGGGCGUGCUCUCCAGGACUGGGCGGUUUCAGAAGCCACCCCUAACCGUCUGGAAACGGGAUCCUCUAGGAAGCAGGAGGAGUGAAAGCUGAAUUUCUGGAAGAAGGCCUACGGGAGCCGGGAAGAUGGAUGUAAAAAAGCACUGCCUGGGUGAUACAUGCGCGCGGCAAGCGCGACAGUGAAGGGUCGGCUCCAGUGCGCAAGCGCCGAGGCCUGCUGGGCAUGGCGUUUCCCUUCUGUAUUUAUUUAUUUGGCUGUGCCAGGUCUUAGUUGCAGCACACAGAAUCUUUGUUGCGACAUUCGAGAUCUAGUUCCCUGACCAGGGAUCGGACCUGGACCAUCUGCGUUGGGAGUGUGGAGUCUUAACUGCUGGACCACCAGGGAGGUCCCACACACAUUGAUUUAGACCACCCACUUCUGCCAUCUUUGCACUGCAGCCAAAGUGAUCUUUAUAAGUAAAAAUCCUGUUUCAGGGGCUUCCCUGGUGGCGCAGUGGUUGAGAGUCUGCCUGCCGAUGCAGGGGACACGGGUUUGUGCCCCGGUCAGGAAGAUCCCACAUGCCGCGGAGCGGCUGGGCCCGUGAGCCAUGGUCGCUGAGCCUGUGCGUCCGGAGCCUGUGCUCCGCAACGGGAGAGGCCACAACAGUGAGAGGCCCGCGUACAGCAAAAAAAAGAAAAGAAAAAAAUCCUGUUUCACAUCUUGUAAAAGUGCGUUAAUACUUUUCUAAGGAAGGUGCUUCAAAGAAUUACUGGAUCAUGUGGCAUUUGUACUUUGUAUUUUUUUUUUUUUUUUUUGGCCGUGCUGUGCAACUUGAGGGAUCUUAGUUCCCCGACCAGGGAUUGAACCAGAGGCCACGGCAGUGUGAAAGCGCUGAGUCCUAAUCACUGGAGCCCCAGGGAAUUCCCUGCCCUUUGUAUUUUGAUAGCAGCUCCACAUUGCCAUUUAAUUUCCCUGUGCCAAUUUCCCCUCACAGCAGUGUGUAGGAGUUUCAAUUUCCCAGCAAACUCACCAAGACUUGAUAUUACCAAACAUUUGAAUGUCUGCAUUCUGUUAUGUGAAAAAUGGUAUCGUUUAAUCUGAUUUGUCUGAUUGCUAGUAACUUAGAAAAUCUUAUUAAAUGUAGUAUUACAGCUUUUUUCUUUUUUUGCCUUCCUUUUGAUUAAUCAAAUAAUUAUCUAAGUAUUAUAUGUCUUAAUACUUUUAGUAGUUCUGAAUAGUGUAAAAAUGGUAGACCAGCCCCUUCCUACCUUAUGUGCUAUGAAUGUCAAGGGUAUUAGUGAUAUAUUUUAAACUCUAUAUGACAUGGUUACUAUUAUUUUAUAGUCAAUUUUACUUAGAAUAACUGACAUAUUUACCCUUUUUAUUGUUAUACAUUCUAUUCUGUAUCUUGGUGGUUCUUUCGGGGAUUAUUUUCCUUUCUCUUGAAUUGUAUUUCCUUGAGUACAUUUGUGCUAAUCACAAAUCUUCUCAGUUUUUGUAUUAAGUGUAUUUU